AGCAGCCGCGGUAAUUCCAGCUCCAAUAGCGUAUAUUAAAGUUGUUGCAGUUAAAAAGCUCGUAGUUGAAUUUCGGGAUCAAUUAGUCGGUCGUGCCUCUGGUACGUACUGGUUUUAUUGGUUCCUCCCUUCUGACGAAACAUGAUGUCAUUAAUUUGGUGUCGUGGAGAAUCAGGACUGUUACCUUGAAAAAAUUAGAGUGUUUAUAGCAGGCUAACGCUUGAAUACAUUAGCAUGGAAUAAUGAAAUAGGACGUUCGACCCUAUUUUGUUGGUUUCUAGGAUCGACGUAAUGAUUAAUAGGGAUAGUUGGGGGCAUUAGUAUUCAAUUGUCAGAGGUGAAAUUCUUGGAUUUAUUGAAGACUAACUACUGCGAAAGCAUUUGCCAAGGAUGUUUUCAUUAAUCAAGAACGAAAGUUAGGGGAUCGAAGACGAUCAGAUACCGUCGUAGUCUUAACCAUAAACUAUGCCGACUAGGGAUCGGAUGAUGUUAAUUUUUUAAUGACUCAUUCGGCGCCUAC
rnacentral:rRNA from 1 species